UGCUUAACACAUGCAAGUCGAACGCUGAAGCCUGGCUUUUGUUGGGUGGAUGAGUGGCGAACGGGUGAGUAACACGUGAGUAACCUGCCCCCUUCUUUGGGAUAACGCCCGGAAACGGGUGCUAAUACUGGAUAUUCACUGGCCUUCGCAUGGGGGUUGGUGGAAAGGGUUUUCUGGUGGGGGAUGGGCUCGCGGCCUAUCAGCUUGUUGGUGGGGUGAUGGCCUACCAAGGCUUUGACGGGUAGCCGGCCUGAGAGGGUGACCGGUCACAUUGGGACUGAGAUACGGCCCAGACUCCUACGGGAGGCAGCAGUGGGGAAUAUUGCACAAUGGGCGAAAGCCUGAUGCAGCGACGCCGCGUGAGGGAUGGAGGCCUUCGGGUUGUGAACCUCUUUCGCUCAUGGUCAAGCCGCAACUGUGGGUUGUGGUGAGGGUAGUGGGUAAAGAAGCGCCGGCUAACUACGUGCCAGCAGCCGCGGUAAUACGUAGGGCGCGAGCGUUGUCCGGAAUUAUUGGGCGUAAAGGGCUUGUAGGCGGUUGGUC
rnacentral:rRNA from 1 species